rnacentral:rRNA from 1 species
CCUACGGGAGGCAGCAGUGGAGAAUUUUGGACAAUGGGGGAAACCCUGAUCCAGCCAUUCCGCGUGAGUGAAGAAGGCCUUCGGGUUGUAAAGCUCUUUCGGCAGGAACGAAACGGCGGACUCUAACAUAGUCUGUCAAUGACGGUACCUGAAGAAGAAGCACCGGCUAACUACGUGCCAGCAGCCGCGGUAAUACGUAGGGUGCGAGCGUUAAUCGGAAUUACUGGGCGUAAAGCGUGCGCAGGCGGCUUUGUAAGACGGAUGUGAAAUCCCUGGGCUUAACCUAGGAACUGCGUUCGUGACUGCAAAGCUAGAGUGCGGCAGAGGGGGGUGAAAUUCCUGGUGUAGCAGUGAAAUGCGUAGAGAUCGGGAGGACCACCAGUGGCGAGGGCGGCGUCCGGGCCGACACCUGACGCGGAAGCGCGAAAGCGUGGGGAGCGAACGGGAUUAGAUCCCCCGGUAGU